GAAGGUAAUACUGUAGUAUUAUAAUAAUCAUGCUCAUUCAUACAAAUAUUUGAAAGAAGAAGGAGAAGAAAAAUAAUGUAAUGUGUUUGACAACAAAAUACUUUAUUUUGGCUUCAAAUCAUAAUUAUCACAAGUGCUGAAAAUAUGACUAGUCUUUUCAUUAAAAGGUUCUGCUUGGAUAAUGGAUGUAUCUGGAAGUCCUUCAAAAAAGUUUUGCUGUCCUGUUUGUGGAAAGACAUACUGUGGCAAGCAAAAUUUAAACCGUCAUAUUGACAGUAGACAUCGAGGAAAGACUUACACUUGUGAAAUUUGUUUCAAGUUUUUCCUUUCAAUUACUGCCUUGUAUCGACACAAAACUUAUCAUCAAGAACUAAAGAAACAUCAGUGUAAAAUCUGAAGAAGUGGCAGUUCCACCUUGAACCACUGUUACUGUUUCCUCUGUAGUAAACAGUUCACCAAUAUGACCAAUUAUAAAACACACAUGAUGAAACAUGCACAAACCAGAAAGAAAUAUGUUUGUUCCAUAUGUAACCUCAGUUAUUACUGGAAGAAUAACCUCAGCCGUCACAAGCAACAGAAACAUGGGACCUUUGCAAGUUACUAUUAUUAAUUUGUAUUGGAUAAGAGCCAUUUGGGGGGGGAGAUAAAUUUAAUUCUCUUCAAGCAAAAGACUGGAAGAAUUUACAAUUGACAGCUUUUUAAAAUUUCUAUUUGAUUAAAUAUUAUGCAAAAGUUCAUGUAAGGACCCCAUAGAUAUGUAAAAUGUCAUGUUUUUAAUUGAUUAGCUAUGGUUGAUAAUAAUGGAACUGAUUAUCGGGACUCUUACAAUUUUAUAAUGAUUUAAAUAAUUGGAAAAAAAAAUUAUGUCCCCCAGUGGCUCAGCUGUAAGUCUGAAGGCUUAUAACCAUGAAAACCAGGAUUCAGCACACAUAGCCCAUUGUUUUGCUAUGUGCUUAAUGAUCAAUCAAACAAAAAAAAUGAAUGGCUGUUAAUGUAUUUGAAAUCAGAAUUAUAGUUUUAGACAGGUAUGAUAGUUUUCAAUUUAUCAACUGCCAUUAGUCAAGAUUAAAUGUGUCAUUUUAUGGAUAUUAGUUCUUUUUUAGACUUAAAACUUAUAUGUGAACAGAUAUAAAUGAGCAAGUUUAUCAUAUGUCUGCUCUACUCUUGUCAUGUUUUUUAAUAAAAAUUCCAUCAAAAUGAAUAUGUCUGAAUUAUGUGUAUUCACUUUACAUUACUACAGUAUUUACUUUACCUAUUAUAAAGACAGUAGUGAAAGAAAAUUUGUAUCAAAGAUGUUAGCAGCUUACAAAAUGAGGUUUUUGAAAUUUUGUUUAUUAUAAACCACUGAUGAAGUUUUCAUUGCUAUAUGAGCCAUGUACAUAAUGGUUUCAACCAAGUGCAAAUUUAUAAGAUGCUGUAUCUGUUCUCUUCUAACGAUGUAGAAUUCUGGCUGUUCUGAAAGUGCUUAUGAUCCUUUUCAUUAAAAAUGAAAGCAUAAAACUGUGUGGAAGAAAGGUUAGGUCACUGAUUGUGGUUUGUAAAAGUAAUGUUUUUACCAGUUGUUGUGACAUUUGAUUUUGACUAGAGGUCUUGCUCAUCUCAUAAAUAAAAAGUUAAUACAUCAUAAUCAUUUAAACAUCAUAUGGUUAAAACAAAUAUAUGUAUGUAUGUGUGUGUGUGUGUGUGUGACAAAAUGAAAAUCUACACAAGAAUAUGUGUAUGUAGAUGCUGUUCACCACACAGUGUGAGCUUCCUAUUGAAAACUGAUGAUGAAAUGCAAGUAAAUCCUGAGUAGAGCAGUACAUACGCUUGCCAGUGGUACAGUGUGAAAUAUGUUACCAAGUGCUGACAUCCAAGACUGUUCUAAAGCGCCACAUGAAGCUUCAUGUGGCUUGCAGGGAGAAGUUUAUCUGUUCCAUAUGUGGCAAAGCCCUCAGCAGAAAGGAUCACUUGACUCGUCACAUGCGACGAAAGCAUGAAGAAAAUAUUUUUUCCUGUCCACAGUGCAGCAAAGUAUUUGUUACCGAGUGGGAUCUGUUUUUCCAUAUCAGGAUCAGUCACUCUUAAUUAAGAUUAAAUGUUGAGCCAACAUGCUUGUUGAAGAAAUAAUCCAAAUGACUGUAUAAAAUCUUAGCUGAGUUUAAUGGCAUCGCUUGUUCUUCUUUGUAAAGGUAAGCUAACAUUUCUCCAGUAUAAAAACCAGUGACUCCAAACCAAGUUGAAAUGUGACCAUUUCUUAUCCUUAUAGUAAGGAAGUCACAUCAAGUCCCCAGUGUAUAGUGUUUUUUCAGUUUCUUUGACACUGCUAAAUUACUAUUAUUUCUGUAAAAUGUAGUUCUGUUGGCUUUUUGUUUUGCUCGAUGUAAGGGAAUGUACAAAAGUAAAUAUUUUACCUUUAGGGCUCACAUUUAACCAUUACUGAAAUCAUUGUCAUCAGUCGUUUGUGGGGUAACAAUAGAAUAAAGUUGUGUGUUUACCUAAAAACUAUACUAAGCCAUUUUCCAAACCCUAAAGCCAUUUGUGUGUGUAUAGAAACUGUACUGAGCCAUUUAGCAAACCUUAAAGUACAUGUAUGUGUUUACCUAAAAACUGUACUAAGCCAUUUUCCAAACCCUAAAGCCACUUGUGUGUGUGUGUUUGUAUAUAUAAACUGUACUGAGCUAUUUAGCAAACCUUAAAGCCACAUGUAUGUGUUUACCUAAAAACUGUACUGAGCCAUUAUGGAAACCCUAAAGCCUUGUGUGUGUUUAUAUAUAAACUGUACUGAGCUAUUUAGCAAACCUUAAAGCCACAUGUAUGUGUUUACCUAAAAACUAUACCAAGCCAUUAUGGAAACCCUAAGGCCUUGUGUGUGUUUAUAUAGAAAAUGUACUGAGUCAUUUAGUAAACCUUAAAGCCACAUGUAUGUGUUUACCUAAAAACUGUACUGAGCCAUUAUGGAAACCCUAAAGCCUUGUGUGUGUUUACAUAGAAACUGUACUGAGUCAUUUAGCAAACAAAGCUGUGUGUGUGUGUUUAUAUAUAAACUGUACUGAGCCAUUUUGCAAACCCUAAAACGAUGUGUGUGUGUGUUUAUAUAUAAACUGUACUGAGCCAUUUUGCAAACCCUAAAACGAUGUGUGUGUGUGUUUAUAUAUAAACUGUACUGAGCCAUUUUGAAAACCCUAAAACCACAUGUGUGUGUGUGUGUUUAUAUAGAAACUGUACUGAGCUAUUUUGCAAACCCUAAAACCACGUGUGUGUGUUAAUAUAAAAACUCUACUGAGCCAUUUUGCAAACCCUAAAGCCAUGUGUGUGUUUAUCCAAAGAUUAUACCAAGCCAUUUUCCAAACCCUAAAGCCACUUGUGUGUGUGUGUGUGUGUUUGUAUAUAUAUAAACUGUACUGAGCUAUUUAGCAAACCUUAAAGCCACAUGUAUGUGUUUACCUAAAAACUGUACUGAGCCAUUAUGGAAACCCUAAGGCCUUGUGUGUGUUUAUAUAGAAACUGUACUGAGCCAUUUUGAAAACCCUAAAACCACAUGUGU